GCUUGCUUGGUGGAUCAGUGGCGAACGGGUGAGUAACACGUGAGCAACCUGCCCUGGACUCUGGGAUAAGCGCUGGAAACGGCGUCUAAUACUGGAUAUGAGCUUCUACCGCAUGGUGGGGGUUGGAAAGAUUUUUCGGUCUGGGAUGGGCUCGCGGCCUAUCAGCUUGUUGGUGAGGUAAUGGCUCACCAAGGCGUCGACGGGUAGCCGGCCUGAGAGGGUGACCGGCCACACUGGGACUGAGACACGGCCCAGACUCCUACGGGAGGCAGCAGUGGGGAAUAUUGCACAAUGGGCGGAAGCCUGAUGCAGCAACGCCGCGUGAGGGAUGACGGCCUUCGGGUUGUAAACCUCUUUUAGCAAGGAAGAAGCGAAAGUGACGGUACUUGCAGAAAAAGCGCCGGCUAACUACGUGCCAGCAGCCGCGGUAAUACGUAGGGCGCAAGCGUUAUCCGGAAUUAUUGGGCGUAAAGAGCUCGUAGGCGGUUUGUCGCGUCUGCUGUGAAAUCCCGAGGCUCAACCUCGGGCCUGCAGUG
rnacentral:rRNA from 1 species